GAGAGAUUCUUUAGUGAUUACCUGCAGAAAGAGGAUUAUUAGACCAAAUUAAGAAAUAAAUUGAAGGAAGUUUUUAUUCUUAUUCUAUACAAAAUUCAAUACUCUCCCUCAAAAGCAUAAAAACCGGCAUAAACCUAACUAAAUCGCAGGAACAAAGACGAUUAACAAAUAUAAAAUUUCAACUAAACAUAUGCAAUGUGAAAAUACAAAAAAUUCUAUCCAGCAACUAUUACAUUAUCGGCAAUAUGUAAAUUUAGUAAUUCACAGCGAUCAAUCCUCAAAAAUCAGUACUACAUACACAUGCAAUUCUAGUGGCGUUGUCUGAUUGCUGAGAAAAGGCAUUAAACCAACACAUACAAAAAAUAGCAAUUGUUUUCCACUCAAACUUUC
rnacentral:misc_RNA from 1 species